rnacentral:rRNA from 1 species
ACUCUAAGCGGUGGAUCACUCGGCUCAUGGGUCGAUGAAGAACGCAGCAAACUGUGCGUCAUCGUGUGAACUGCAGGACACAUGAACAUCGACAUUUUGAACGCAUAUCGCAGUCCAUGCUGUUAUGUACUUUAAUUAAUUUUGAAGUGCUGCUUGGACUACAUAUGGUUGAGGGUUGUAAGACUAUGCUAAUAAAGUUGUUUACUAUUUUGUUUUUUAAACAUUAUAGUAUGCAUAUGGUAUAUUAUUGGAUAUAUUUUAUAUAUUCAUAAUAUAAAAAAAUAAAAGCAAUUAUCUCACAUAAUAACAAAAAUUUGUAUGUGAAAAAUGAAGAUAUACAAUUCUUUCUUUUUUCAAUUCAAAUAAUACUGAGAAAUGUCUAGCAUAAAAAAUAUGAAAUAUUUUUCAUCUGGAAUUGUCUCUUAUUUAAAGAUGCGAAAAUUGAAAAUACAUCUAAUAUAUUGUUCUUCAUAAAAUAAAGAUAAUGUAAAUAAUAUUAUUGCUUUAUACAACCUCAACUCAUAUGGGACUACCCCCUGAAUUUAAGCAUAUUAAUUAGGGGAGGAAAAGAAACUAACAAGGAUUUUCUUAGUAGCGGCGAGCGAAAAGAAAUCAGUUCAGCACUAAGUCACUUUGUCUAUAUGGCAAAUGUGAGAUGCAGUGUAUGGAGCGUCAAUAUUCUAGUAUGAGAAAUUAACGAUUUAAGUCCUUCUUAAAUGAGGCCAUUUACCCAUAGAGGGUGCCAGGCCCGUAUAACGUUAAUGAUUACUAGAUGAUGUUUCCAAAGAGUCGUGUUGCUUGAUAGUGCAGCACUAAGUGGGUGGUAAACUCCAUCUAAAACUAAAUAUAACCAUGAGACCGAUAGUAAACAAGUACCGUGAGGGAAAGUUGAAAAGAACUCUGAAUAGAGAGUUAAAUAGUACGUGAAACUGCUUAGAGGUUAAGCCCGAUGAACCUGAAUAUCCGUUAUGGAAAAUUCAUCAUUAAAGUUAUAAUAUUUAAACAAUAUUAUACAAAUAAUGUGCAUUUUUUCCAUAUAAGGACAUUGUAAUCUAUUAACAUAUUAAAUUUAUCAUAAAAUAUGGCUUAUAGUUUAUUCAAAUUAUUAUGCUUGCAUUUUAACAUAGAAUAUAAAUGUCAUUAAUUUGAUAAAGUGUUGAUAGACUAAUAAGAAUACAGUGCGUUAAUUUUUCGGAAUUAUAUAAUGGCAUAAUUAUCAUUGAUUUUUGUGUUUAUUAUAAGCACUUGUAUGAUUAACAAUGCGAAAGAUUCAGGAUACCUUCGGGACCCGUCUUGAAACACGGACCAAGGAGUCUAACAUAUGUGCAAGUUAUUGGGAUAUAAACCUAAUAGCGUAAUUAACUUGACUAAUAAUGGGAUUAGUUUUUUAACUAUUUUAUAGCUAAUUAACACAAUCCCGGGGCGUUCUAUAUAGUUAUGUAUAAUAAUAUUUAUAUUAUUUAUGCCUCUAACUGGAACGUACCUUGAGCAGAUAUGCUGUGACCCGAAAGAUGGUGAACUAUACUUGAUCAGGUUGAAGUCAGGGGAAACCCUGAUGGAAGACCGAAACAGUUCUGACGUGCAAAUCGAUUGUCAGAAUUGAGUAUAGGGGCGAAAGACCAAUCGAACCAUCUAGUAGCUGGUUCCUUCCGAAGUUUCCCUCAGGAUAGCUGGUGCAUUUUAAUGUUAUAUAAAAUAAUCUUAUCUGGUAAAGCGAAUGAUUAGAGGCCUUAGGGUCGAAACGAUCUUAACCUAUUCUCAAACUUUAAAUGGGUAAGAACCUUAACUUUCUUGAUAUGAAGUUUAAGGUUAUGAUAUAUUGUGCCCAGUGGGCCACUUUGGUAAGCAGAACUGGCGCUGUGGGAUGAACCAAACGUAAUGUUACGGUGCCCAAAUUAACAACUCAUGCAGAAACCAUGAAAGGCGUUGGUUGCUUAAAACAGCAGGACGGUGAUCAUGGAAGUCGAAAUCCGCUAAGGAGUGUGUAACAACUCACCUGCCGAAGCAACUAGCCCUUAAAUGGAUGGCGCUUAAGUUGUAUACCUAUACAUUACCGCUAAAGUAGAUGAUUUAUAUUACUUGUAAUAUAAAUUUUGAAACUUUAGUGAGUAGGAAGGUACAAUGGUAUGCGUAGAAGUGUUUGGCGUAAGCCUGCAUGGAGCUGCUAUUGGUACAGAUCUUGGUGGUAGUAGCAAAUAAUCGAAUGAGACCUUGGAGGACUGAAGUGGAGAAGGGUUUCGUGUGAACAGUGGUUGAUCACGAGUUAGUCGGUCCUAAGUUCAAGGCGAAAGCCGAAAAUUUUCAAGUAAAAAUAAAAUUUACUAUAUGUAAAAAUUAUAUACUUGAAUAAUUUGAACGAAAGGGAAUACGGUUCCAAUUCCGUAACCUGUUGAGUAUCCGUUUGUUAUUAAAUAUGGGCCUCGUGCUCAUCCUGGCAACAGGAACGACCAUAAAGAAGCCGUCGAGAGAUAUCGGAAGAGUUUUCUUUUCUGUUUUAUAGUCGUACUACCAUGGAAGUCUUUCGCAGAGAGAUAUGGUAGAUGGGCUAGAAGAGCAUGACAUAUACUGUUGUGUCGAUAUUUUCU